GCGAGUGGGGGUUCGGCGGCCUCACCUGUCCUCACUCAGCGGCGGCGAGAGGCGGCGGCGGCAGCGCGUCCGGCGGAGAGGGCCGCCGCCAGGAAUGAAUCUGAAGUCUGCUGCAGUAAAACACUGAAGGCUUUAAAAUGUUUUCUUGCGUAAAAGUCAAACUUUAAGUAGCUGCUUAUGAGGAUAGGGAAGGCAGGAAGCUAAUGUCUGUCUCAAGACACAGGACAGCUGUUUGCUCAUCAACCUCAACUGUUGCAAGCAACAGCAGGAAAGACAACUCGACUUAGGGAUCUGGGGACUGCUAUGCAGAGUUACCAAGCCUACAGUACAGUAGGAACUUUAACCUGUCCCUGUUCUUUCAUCUGAGUGAGCAGCUUUCCUCCCAAGUGUUUUCUGUCAAGGUGUGCAACAGAAGAACAUGGCGCAAGAAACUAAUCACAGCCAAGCACCUAUGCUUUGCUCCACUGGCUGCGGAUUUUAUGGAAACCCUCGUACAAAUGGCAUGUGCUCAGUAUGCUAUAAAGAACAUCUUCAAAGACAGAACAGUAGCAAUGGUAGAAUAAGCCCACCUGCAGCUUCUGUCAGCAGUCUGUCUGAAUCCUUACCAGUACAGUGCGCAGAUGGCAGUGUCCCAGACGCUCAGUCGGCGCUAGAUUCUACGUCUUCAUCUAUGCAGCCAGGCCCUGUAUCAAAUCAGUCACUUUUAUCAGAAUC
rnacentral:lncRNA from 1 species